CUCAGUCUUGUGCUAGGCGGGCUUCCUGCCUGGCCCCUUCUUCCCUGGGUGUUCUCCUUCUUCUGGAGAACUCACUCCCCAAGCGGAGAGCGUCAGCUGCCUCGUUCGUUGGCCAGGUGGGUUCGCCUGCCCAUGGGAGAGCUUCCAAAAUAGAGCUCCUUCUGGAAUGCUAGCCUUCAUAAUUGCUGUGGAGCAGGUGACAGACUUCUCCCAGGCAUCUGGAUCGCUAUCUCUUUCCCAUUCAGGCCUCAGCAAAAAUGUCACCUCCUCAGAGAAGCCCUCCAUGAUCACCUGUCUAAAGGGGUCUCUACCCCUGCUUGCAGUCUCAUCCACUGUCAGCCAUGUGACUGAGCCACUUCAGACACCCGGCUCAGGCCUCGAGAUGACCGUGGCUCUAGCUGAUGGCUCUAGCUGACUGUAAGGACAGGAGACUUCCACUGCGAACCACCCAGCAGAGCCUUGUCAGCUCACUGACCCGAGGGAGAAGUCCAGAGGCAGGCGUUCCAGGGCUGGUGUGCUGUCCCAGAGUAAUCAGAGACCCAGACUCCUUCUGCCUUCUUGCUCCACGAUUGUUAGUAGCUUUCAUCCCUAAGUUUGCCUCUGCUUCAAAAGGAUUGUUGGAGCUCCAGCCAUCACACCUGCAUUCCAGGCAAGGAAAAGAGGAAGAGAGAAGAGCAAAAACGUGCAUCCCAGCUUUCUAUUCUCCAAGAUAUUGUACCCAGUAACCUCUGCUCACAUUUCAUUGACCAGAAUUUCACUACUUGGGUGCAGGGGACUCUGGGAAAUGUGGUUUUUCGAGCUGGGUGCAUGGCCACCUGGACUUAAACAAGAGUUCUGUUUCUAAGGAAGAACAGGAGAAUGAAGUUUGGUGGGCACCUAGCAAUUUCUGCCUCACUUAGCGCAGCAGUCAAGGCCUUGAAUGAAUUUUCACACCAGCGAGCUCAUUCUGUUCCUUCUUCCUGCUCAGCAGGCAUGUCUUGCAGAUGGGUCAGCAGGGCAAGUCCAUUAUUUGGCCGUUAGGUUUGGCUGCCCUGACUGACAUGCACCUCCUGAACAAGCCCGAGCUUUCUGCCUUCCGGUGCAGCACUUCUGCUGCUUCCAAGGUAGCAUCUGGAAACCCACGUAAAGGGCAGAGCCGCUAAUGACUCUCACUCUGUUCCCCAGCGAGCAGAACAGUCUCCAUCCCACUGCCCUGGAACUGCCCACUGAGAAGACCCUGAGUUUGCACACGCUUGCCCGUGCAUACACACACCCCUCAAAGAAAGAAACCUCUUCUAGUGUUAGUACCUUCUCACCUGGAGCAGGAUACACAGGUAAGCGGCUUCCCAUCACAGGGGCCGAUCUCCGUAGGACCUGAGCCCAGAGGAGGGGUGCAGGUGGCCUGCUGUCCAAUCCCGGCAGGCCCCCACAGGCCCCUGCGUCACCCUGCCAGCUGCACAACCUCACAAAUCAAAUAUCACGUCUAAUUCUUAAAGCUGUUUUCAUGACAGCGGUUUUCCAUUUAAUCCCCAGAGCUAACAAUAUGUAAUCAGUUUUCCUUAACAAAUGACCUCCUUUAACUUCAUUAGUUCAUAAUUAAUUUGCCAGCCUGUAACCAAGAUAAUGAACACUGCAGAUUAGGGACAGGAAUACUGAUUAAAAUCUGAGCUGUUUCCCUAAUUUUCCUCGCAAUUUAAUUCAUUGGUGGUGGCUGGUGAUUGGUGGGUUUGGUUGAAAAAAUCCACGUGGA
ensembl:lincRNA